rnacentral:tRNA from 3 species
GGACAGGUGUCCGAGUGGCUGAAGGAGCCGGUCUCGAAAACCGGUAAACCGGCAACGGUUUCGAGGGUUCGAAUCCCUCCCUGUCCG